rnacentral:rRNA from 1 species
AGAGUUUGAUCAUGGCUCAGGACGAACGCUGGCGGCGUGCCUAAUACAUGCAAGUCGAACGAAACUUUCUUACACCGAAUGCUUGCAUUCACCGUAAGAAGUUGAGUGGCGGACGGGUGAGUAACACGUGGGUAACCUGCCUAAAAGAAGGGGAUAACACUUGGAAACAGGUGCUAAUACCGUAUAUCUCUAAGGAUCGCAUGAUCCUUAGAUGAAAGAUGGUUCUGCUAUCGCUUUUAGAUGGACCCGCGGCGUAUUAACUAGUUGGUGGGGUAACGGCCUACCAAGGUGAUGAUACGUAGCCGAACUGAGAGGUUGAUCGGCCACAUUGGGACUGAGACACGGCCCAAACUCCUACGGGAGGCAGCAGUAGGGAAUCUUCCACAAUGGACGCAAGUCUGAUGGAGCAACGCCGCGUGAGUGAAGAAGGUCUUCGGAUCGUAAAACUCUGUUGUUAGAGAAGAACACGAGUGAGAGUAACUAUUCAUUCGAUGACGGUAUCUAACCAGCAAGUCACGGCUAACUACGUGCCAGCAGCCGCGGUAAUACGUAGGUGGCAAGCGUUGUCCGGAUUUAUUGGGCGUAAAGGGAACGCAGGCGGUCUUUUAAGUCUGAUGUGAAAGCCUUCGGCUUAACCGGAGUAGUGCAUUGGAAACUGGAAGACUUGAGUGCAGAAGAGGAGAGUGGAACUCCAUGUGUAGCGGUGAAAUGCGUAGAUAUAUGGAAGAACACCAGUGGCGAAAGCGGCUCUCUGGUCUGUAACUGACGCUGAGGUUCGAAAGCGUGGGUAGCAAACAGGAUUAGAUACCCUGGUAGUCCACGCCGUAAACGAUGAAUGCUAGGUGUUGGAGGGUUUCCGCCCUUCAGUGCCGCAGCUAACGCAAUAAGCAUUCCGCCUGGGGAGUACGACCGCAAGGUUGAAACUCAAAGGAAUUGACGGGGGCCCGCACAAGCGGUGGAGCAUGUGGUUUAAUUCGAAGCAACGCGAAGAACCUUACCAGGUCUUGACAUCCUUUGACCACCUAAGAGAUUAGGCUUUCCCUUCGGGGACAAAGUGACAGGUGGUGCAUGGCUGUCGUCAGCUCGUGUCGUGAGAUGUUGGGUUAAGUCCCGCAACGAGCGCAACCCUUGUUGUCAGUUGCCAGCAUUAAGUUGGGCACUCUGGCGAGACUGCCGGUGACAAACCGGAGGAAGGUGGGGACGACGUCAAGUCAUCAUGCCCCUUAUGACCUGGGCUACACACGUGCUACAAUGGACGGUACAACGAGUCGCGAGACCGCGAGGUUUAGCUAAUCUCUUAAAGCCGUUCUCAGUUCGGAUUGUAGGCCGCAACUCGCCUACAUGAAGUCGGAAUCGCUAGUAAUCGCGAAUCAGCAUGUCGCGGUGAAUACGUUCCCGGGCCUUGUACACACCGCCCGUCACACCAUGAGAGUUUGUAACACCCAAAGCCGGUGGGGUAACCGCAAGGAGCCAGCCGUCUAAGGUGGGACAGAUGAUUGGGGUGAAGUCGUAACAAGGUAGCCGUAGGAGAACCUGCGGCUGGAUCACCUCCUU